rfam:Roseburia sp. CAG:303 genomic scaffold, scf343
GCUUCCAUAGUUCAAAGGCAAAACAGGUCACUCGUAAUGUCCAGUUAUCGGUUCGAUUCCGAUUGGAAGCU